rnacentral:lncRNA from 1 species
AGGGCCUUCACGCUUUUAAUAUAUUAUAUAGAUAUAUAGAUAUAUAGAUUACAGGUUAUAGAGAUAUAUAUAUAGAUAUAGAUGUAGAUAUAGAUUAUCGAUACUGGUGAAAAAAAUGGGAUCAUUGUUAUUGUUAUAAAAUAAAUACAAAAUAUCAAAAUCAAACUUUAAACAACGGAGAGAACUAGAGAGAAUUUAGUAGUACAU